GCUCAGAAACUUAAAGGAAUUGACGGGGCCGCACAAGCGGUGGAGUAUGUGGUUUAAUUCGAUGCAACGCGAAGAACCUUACCUGGUCUUGACAUCCCGGAGACCCUUAGGAAACUAGGGGGUGCUUCCAUCUGGAAGAAUCUGGAGACAGGUGCUGCAUGGCUGUCGUCAGCUCGUGUCGUGAGAUGUUGGGUUAAGUCCCGCAACGAGCGCAACCCUUGCCUUUAGUUGCCAGCAGUUCGGCUGGGCACUCUAAAGGGACUGCCGGUGUUAAACCGGAGGAAGGUGGGGAUGACGUCAAGUCCUCAUGGCCUUUAUGACCAGGGCUGCACACGUACUACAAUGGCCGAUACAAAGGGCAGCGACACUGCGAGGUGAAGCCCAUCCCGUAAAAUCGGUCUCAGUCCGGAUUGGAGUCUGCAACUCGACUCCAUGAAGUUGGAAUCGCUAGUAAUCGUGAAUCAGAAUGUCACGGUGAAUACGUUCCCGGGCCUU
rnacentral:rRNA from 1 species